CUAAUCAUCCGCUGUUUAUAUGGAUUAAUAAAUCCGAAGAGUGGCGUUAGCUGAACUACCCGAGGGAAAAGUGAAAAUAAAGUGAAAUUCUUGAAAGAAGCAAAGGGAUAGGAGUACUGGAAAAUCUUAAUACAGCCAAGCCGGCCAACCAAUCUACGGUAUCAACUACUAAAACAACCAAGCUGACCGUUUGGGAGUUAGCGCAGUGCACAUCCACGGCGGCAAAGUGAAGGCUGAACCGUUGACGUUGGGCUAGCUCAAUAUCGGAAAUCAUUUACGGCUCAUGAAAGACCAACCACCAUACACCACUGCUGGACGUCCGAAUAUCAGUUUGAACCUGCCGAUCUCGUAAAAAAAAAAGCCGGAGGACAUAAUCGUCACCAACCUACGAAAACUUACAAAGGAUUGAGUAAUUAGGCUAGCCUAAACCACAUUGCCUCAGAACCACUCUUGCUGUCAGCAGAUUUGUGUUUAUUUUGAUUCCCGUGUUUCUCAAAUUAAAUUUCAAGUGCAAGUUCCCGUUUGCCUUUAUCACUAUCACAUAAAAAUCUAUACGCUGCUGCUCUAAGAACCAGCUGAUUAGAUCCACAUAUUCAUAUCUCGUUUAUCAUUGUGUUGAUUAAUGUAGUAACUAAAUAGCUUCCUCCAAUGAGUAAAUUUGUAACGUAACUGACGAUUUU